CAAGAUCCGCAUACCAGUAGUAAUGGGUUUAGUGCUACUUGAUUGGUCUAUCAAGGCUCUUUGAUCAUCCAUGUUUGAUCUUGAGAGCUACAAGGCUGUGGUGAGGAAGAUAUCCUUGAACAAACAAUGGGGGAGAAAUAGAAAGAUAACAAUACAACACACAAACUAUGAAAUUUU